rnacentral:rRNA from 1 species
UGGGGGAUAUUGCGCAAUGGAGGAAACUCUGACGCAGCAACGCCGCGUGAAGGAAGAAGGUCUUCGGAUUGUAAACUUUUGUCUUCGGGGACGAUAAUGACGGUACCCGAGGAGGAAGCCACGGCUAACUACGUGCCAGCAGCCGCGGUAAUACGUAGGUGGCGAGCGUUGUCCGGAAUUACUGGGUGUAAAGGGUGCGUAGGCGGGUUGACAAGUCAGAUGUGAAAUCCCAUGGCUUAACUGUGGGACUGCAUUUGAAACUGUUGGCCUUGAGUGCAGGAGAGGUAAGCGGAAUUCCCAGUGUAGCGGUGAAAUGCGUAGAUAUUGGGAGGAACACCAGUGGCGAAGGCGGCUUACUGGACUGCAACUGACGCUGAUGCACGAAAGCGUGGGGAUCAAACA